CCCUUAGAUGUUCCGGGCCGCACGCGUGCUACACUGAGUGGAUCAGCGGGUCAGGUUGCGCGAAAGUGUUUCCUAAUCUUUAAAUCCGCUCGUGAUGGGGAUUGACGGUUGCAAUUUUCCGUCAUGAACGAGGAAUACCUUGUAAGCGCGGGUCAUCAUCCCGCGCUGAAUACGUCCCUGCCCUUUGUACACACCGCCCGUCGCUCCUACCGAUUGAGUGGUCCGGUGAGGCUUUGGGAUCUGAGCGGAAAGAGCGUUUCGCUGUUUCUGCCCGGAAAACUCAGUCGAACCUUAUCAUUUAGAGGAAGGAGAAGUCGUAACA
rnacentral:rRNA from 1 species